rnacentral:rRNA from 1 species
GGGCGCAGCCUGAUCAGCAUGCCGCGUGUGUGAAGAAGGCCUGCGGGUUGUAAAGCACUUUCAGUGGGGAGGAAGGCCUCAAUGCUAAUAGUAUUGAGGAUUGACGUUACCCACAGAAGAAGCACCGGCUAACUCUGUGCCAGCAGCCGCGGUAAUACAGAGGGUGCAAGCGUUAAUCGGAAUUACUGGGCGUAAAGGGUGCGUAGGUGGUUUUUUAAGUCAGAUGUGAAAGCCCCGGGCUCAACCUGGGAAUUGCAUUUGAUACUGAAUAACUGGAGUUUGGCAGAGGGA